rnacentral:rRNA from 1 species
UACGUAGGUCCCGAGCGUUGUCCGGAUUUAUUGGGCGUAAAGCGAGCGCAGGUGGUUUAUUAAGUCUGGUGUAAAAGGCAGUGGCUCAACCAUUGUAUGCAUUGGAAACUGGUAGACUUGAGUGCAGGAGAGGAGAGUGGAAUUCCAUGUGUAGCGGUGAAAUGCGUAGAUAUAUGGAGGAACACCGGUGGCGGAAGCGGCUCUCUGGCCUGUAACUGACACUGAGGCUCGAAAACGUGGGGAGCAAACAGG